CUGGAACCUCUGCUAAGAAUGUAAUGGCAAUUAAACUGUGCAUAUCUGUAUAACAAAAAGCAGAAAGGAAAACAAAAAUGCCCUUCUCUUCAUCUUCUUCAUCUUUAUUAGGAGAUGGUUUUCUGCUUGGGUAUAUACUUUAACUUGACACCUUUCUCAGACUUUGUUCUGAUCUUGGCUUUACUGGCUCCAGUGAUCGAAGAUUCAUGUACCCCCACAUCAACCAACUGAUUCUCCACAUUGCCAAGAAGACUGCAUUUUUUAAUAUCUGAUGACCCAGCUACACCUAUUAGACAGUCAUUCUUAAUCUCCAUACAUUCUGAAGAUUCUAAGUCUGGACAUAGAACCAAUUUGACAUGUUCAGCUGCAAUUGCCUCCUUCCACCUCUCUGCAAGAAAUGCUUUUGCUGCUUGGCAUGAGAACUGCAAGCUUCCUGGAUGCAGUAUCUCCAGCAGAAGUGGGAAACUGUUCCCUGUUAUGCCAUUGUUGUCAUCCACAGAACACGAACUAAGAAAGUUUCCUUCAGAUGGUGUAUGAUCAUCUCCCUUAUCAGCGAUCCCAUCAACUUGAAAUUCUCUAGCUCCAUUUUCAACCAAUAUUAGAUCUUUGGUUCCAUUUCUACUCACAGGCCUCCAAAGCUUUAUUGUUGACCGAUUUGUGCUGGAGUGAGAAGAAUCAGGUCUAUUGUGCUUAUCAUAAACAUUGUUUUUCUUUGGCAUUUGAUGCU
rnacentral:misc_RNA from 1 species